UGCCGGUGACAAACCGGAGGAAGGUGGGGAUGACGUCAAAUCAUCAUGCCCCUUAUGAUUUGGGCUACACACGUGCUACAAUGGACAAUACAAAGGGCAGCGAAACCGCGAGGUCAAGCAAAUCCCAUAAAGUUGUUCUCAGUUCGGAUUGUAGUCUGCAACUCGACUACAUGAAGCUGGAAUCGCUAGUAAUCGUAGAUCAGCAUGCUACGGUGAAUACGUUCCCGGGUCUUGUACACACCGCCCGUCACACCACGAGAGUUUGUAACACCCGAAGCCGGUGGAGUAACCUUUUAGGAGCUAGCCGUCGAAGGUGGGACAAAUGAUUGGGGUGAAGUCGUAACAAGGUAGCCGUAUCGGAAGGUGCGGCUGGAUCCCCUCCUUUCUAAGGA
rnacentral:rRNA from 1 species